CUUUAUCCAAUGAAGGUUUAGUCACCCCUUCCGUGGAUACUGUCCACCAUCAAAGGCCGGGACCCGAUGCCGAGUCUGUACCCACGACAAGGAGCGGGACAUCUGGUGUUGUUAUCUUUUUUAAAUGUGUUCUUUUCGUCACGGUAAUUAAGUUACCCUAUGGGAAUGUUAACGGGACUUGAUUGCUCGCAUCAUAGUAUGACGAUUAUAAAUUCAUUGCUUAACAAUCAUUCAUUACUUUGAACACAGCUGCUAACAGUCAUUCGUUACUUUGGACACAGCCAUGGACACCUUUGAAACCGACGUGUUUAUCUACACGCCCUCCACCAUCGUCAUCGUCGCCUCCGGCAGCGCUGUCGCCACCACGAGUGCCACAGUCGCCAACCCAACAUUAAGGUCUAUUUUUAAGACCCCCUAUAUGGGCAGACAGGAACAAAAACGAGUUCUUGCAAUGAUCAUUAGGUCGUUGCAAGAGUUUCAUGAUACACUUUAAAUAAAAAAU